CUAAGUUUGAUGGCGACCGGCGCACGGGUGAGUAACACGUAUCCAACCUGCCGAUGACUUGGGGAUAGCCUUUCAAAGAAAGAUUAAUACCCGAUGGCAUAGUUCUUCCGCAUGGUAGAACUAUUAAAGAAUUUCGGUCAUCGAUGGGGAUGCGUUCCAUUAGGUUGUUGGCGGGGUAACGGCCCACCAAGCCUUCGAUGGAUAGGGGUUCUGAGAGGAAGGUCCCCCACAUUGGAACUGAGACACGGUCCAAACUCCUACGGGAGGCAGCAUG
rnacentral:rRNA from 1 species